rnacentral:rRNA from 1 species
AGCGAACGCUGGCGGCAGGCCUAACACAUGCAAGUCGAACGAACUCUUCGGAGUUAGUGGCGGACGGGUGAGUAACACGUGGGAACGUGCCUUUAGGUUCGGAAUAACUCAGGGAAACUUGUGCUAAUACCGAAUGUGCUCUUCGGGGGAAAGAUUUAUCGCCUUUAGAGCGGCCCGCGUCUGAUUAGCUUGUUGGUGAGGUAAAGGCUCACCAAGGCGACGAUCAGUAGCUGGUCUGAGAGGAUGAUCAGCCACAUUGGGACUGAGACACGGCCCAAACUCCUACGGGAGGCAGCAGUGGGGAAUCUAGCGCAAUGGGCGAAAGCCUGACGCAGCCAUGCCGCGUGAAUGAUGAAGGUCUUAGGAUUGUAAAAUUCUUUCACCGGGGACGAUAAUGACGGUACCAGGAGAAGAAGCCCCGGCUAACUUCGUG